rnacentral:rRNA from 1 species
AUUGAACGCUGGCGGCAUGCCUUACACAUGCAAGUCGAACGGUAACAGGUUAAGCUGACGAGUGGCGAACGGGUGAGUAAUGUAUCGGAACGUGCCCAGUCGUGGGGGAUAACUGCUCGAAAGAGCAGCUAAUACCGCAUACGACCUGAGGGUGAAAGCGGGGGAUCGCAAGACCUCGCGCGAUUGGACCGGCCGAUAUCAGAUUAGGUAGUUGGUGAGGUAAAGGCUCACCAAGCCGACGAUCUGUAGCUGGUCUGAGAGGACGACCAGCCACACUGGGACUGAGACACGGCCCAGACUCCUACGGGAGGCAGCAGUGGGGAAUUUUGGACAAUGGGCGCAAGCCUGAUCCAGCCAUGCCGCGUGCGGGAAGAAGGCCUUCGGGUUGUAAACCGCUUUUGUCAGGGAAGAAAAGGUUCUGGCUAAUACCUGGGGCUCAUGACGGUACCUGAAGAAUAAGCACCGGCUAACUACGUG